AUUGUUGCACCCUAACUCACUGAGUGUAGCAAUUUAUUCCUUCAAAAUGAGUCCGUCUUAUUAUUCAAUUUGGUUUAUUCAAAUUUAAACUUCAAAGAUCAUAUUUUAAAAUCUUUUCAAAUUCUCAACACUAAGACAUUAAACAAUCGAUUCGGUACCAAUUUUGGGCGUUACGAGGGUGCUAACCCUUCCUCGUGCGUAACCGACUCCCGGACCUAUUUUCUUAAAUCUUGCAGACCUAACAUUAUUUUCAAG
rnacentral:lncRNA from 1 species